rnacentral:misc_RNA from 1 species
GAUGAAGAACGUAGCGAAAUGCGAUACGUAGUGUGAAUUGCAGAAUUCAGUGAAUCAUCGAAUCUUUGAACGCACAUUGCACCUCUCGGUAUUCCGGGAGGUAUGCCUGUUCGAGCGUCAUUUGUACCCUCAAGCUCUGCUUGGUGUUGGGUGUUUGUUCCGCCUCUGUGUGUGAACUCGCCUCAAAACAAUUGGCAGCCGGCGUACUUGUUUCGGAGCGCAGCACAUUUUGCGAUCCAGAUCAACGUACAGCGGCAUCCAAGAAGCCUUAUUUAACGCUCUUGACCUCGGAUCAGGUAGGGAUACCCGCUGAACUUAAGCAUAUCAACGGAGGA